AUGGGGGAGGACCUCGUCACCACCCUGUCCAUGGAGAACGGCGGCGGCGGCGGGGGCCACCACGGCCUCUGCACCCUGCUCUCCAUGGACCCCUCCGGUCACCUCGACGACCGCGCCGUCGGCGUCAUGGUGCAGCCACGCGCCAGAGGUGGCGCGCGCGCCCACGCCCACGCCGUGUCCCUCUCCGGCGCCCCGCCGCCCGACAUCAACCAGCCGUGGCAGACGGAGCCCUGCGACAUGCUCGGCGUCGGCCUCGGGCCGCAGGUCUUCGAAGCCGAGGCCGUGCUCAGCACCGCUCCCAAGGCUGCCGCCGGGAGCCGCAAGACCACCAAGCGCGGGGACAGCAUCUGGGGCGCCUGGUUCUUCUUCACCUUCUACUUCAAGCCCCUGCUGUCGGACAAGGCCAAGAGCAAGGUCGUCCGGGACGCCAACGGCGUGUCGGGGUUCGACAAGUCGGACCUCCGGCUCGACAUGUUUCUGGUGCAGCACGACAUGGAGAACAUGUACAUGUGGGUGUUCAAGGAGAGGCCGGACAACGCCCUCGGGAAGAUGCAGCUGAGGAGCUACAUGAAUGGGCACUCACGCCCUGGCGAGCCGCAUUUCCCUUUCAGCGUGGACAGGGGAUUUGUCCGGUCGCACCGGAUGCAGCGCAAGCACUACCGGGGCCUCUCGAACCCGCAGUGCAUCCACGGGAUUGAGGUGGUGAGUUCGCCGAAUCUCGUGGGCAUCACAGAUGUGGACCGGAGGAGGUGGGCGGAGCUCACAGGGAGAGAGCUCAAUUUCUCCAUCCCACAGGAGGCCAGCGAUUUCGGGACAUGGAGGACCAUGCCAAACUCAGAGCUUGAGCUGGAGAGGCCACACACACAUCCUGCCAUGAAGAGCAAUACUAAUAAUGUUCAGCAGCAACCCCCCAAGAAGACGCUUAAUGGAUCAGGCUUGAAUUUGUCAUCGCCAUCCAAUCAUUCAGGAGAGGACGGUAUGGAUCUCUCCCCUGUCAGCAGCAAGCGAAGGAAGGAGGCAUUUCCACAUGCCAUGGAUGAGGAGUGCUUCUUGCCUCUGAACCCUUGCACUGGGAGGACACAACAAGAUAUCGAGAUGCAGUCGGUAGUGCAGCCUUCGUGGAUGCACGAGUUCACCGGGGUGAUGAGGAAGGCCUCUGGGCCAGCAACUGCUGCCAAGUCCAUUUACGAGGAUGAUCAGGGCUACUUGAUAAUGGUCAGCUUACCAUUUGUCGAUCAACAGAGGGUAAAAGUUUCAUGGAAGAACACUCCUACUCAUGGCAUAGUUAAAAUCUUCUGUGUCAGUACAGCCCGGAUGCCAUACAUAAGGAGACAUGACAGGGUCUUCAAGCUCACUGACGCCAUGCCCGAGCACUGCCCUCCUGGGGAGUUCAUCCGUGAAAUACCUCUAGCCACCCGUAUCCCCGAAGAUGCCAAGCUUGAGGCAUGCUUUGAUGAGGCCGCUGCAGUUCUUGAGAUCAUGGUCCCCAAACGGGGAAACGAGCCGGAAGAACAUGAAGUUAGGGUCUCCAUGCGCCCUCCUCACCUGGGAGUGAACGACCUGCUUAUGACAUAG
rnacentral:rRNA from 1 species